rnacentral:rRNA from 1 species
GACGAACGCUGGCGGCGUGCUUAACACAUGCAAGUCGAACGGAAAGGCCCUGCUUUUGUGGGGUGCUCGAGUGGCGAACGGGUGAGUAACACGUGAGUAACCUGCCCUUGACUUUGGGAUAACUUCAGGAAACUGGGGCUAAUACCCGAUAGGAGCUCCUGCUCCAUGGUGGGGGUUGGAAAGUUUCGGCGGUUGGGGAUGGACUCGCGGCUUAUCCGCUUGUUGGUGGGGUAGUGGCUUACCAAGGCUUUGACGGGUAGCCGGCCUGAGAGGGUGACCGGCCACAUGGGGACUGAGAUACGGCCCAGACUCCUACGGGAGGCAGCAGUGGGGAAUAUUGCACAAUGGGCGGAAGCCUGAUGCAGCAACGCCGCGUGCGGGAUGACGGCCUUCGGGUUGUAAACCGCUUUCGCCUGUGACGAAGCGUGAGUGACGGUAAUGGGUAAAGAAGCACCGGCUAACUACGUG